rnacentral:rRNA from 1 species
UACGUAGGUGGCAAGCGUUGUCCGGAUUUACUGGGCGUAAAGCGUAUGCAGGCGGACUUUUAAGUAGGACGUGAAAGGUUGGAGCUCAACUCCAACACUGCUCCCUAUACUGGGAGUCUAGAGUGCCGGAGAGGAAGGCGGAACGACACGUGUAGCGGUGAAAUGCGUUGAGAUGUGUCGGAACACCAAUGGCGAAAGCAGUCUUCUGGACGGAAACUGACGCUGAGAUACGAAAGCUAAGGUAGCAAACAGG